GGUCUGACGAGAUUGAUCGGAGUGACUGAAUAAACUUACUGGCAUAUAGCUGGUUAAGGUACUAGGACACAGGUGGUGCUGCUGGCAGAAAUGUCAGAAUCGACUUACCAGUCGGGUCUUAGGUAGAGAAGUUUUCUUAACUGUAGAAAUGCCCUUCUCUUGUUGGUAUACAGUAGUCCAACCUCCACCCUU
ncrna:unclassified sequences manA RNA